ensembl:misc_RNA
AAUGGACCAGAGCAUGGACAUAUGUGUGGGAGAAGAUUCUGGAAGCUCUUGAGACAAUCCAGGUGAAAGUCAGUGACUGGGGGACACCUGGGUGGCUCAGUCG